rnacentral:rRNA from 1 species
AACGAACGCUGGCGGCAUGCCUAACACAUGCAAGUCGAACGAGACCUUCGGGUCUAGUGGCGCACGGGUGCGUAACGCGUGGGAACCUGCCUUUAGGUUCGGAAUAACUCAGAGAAAUUUGAGCUAAUACCGGAUGAUGUCUUCGGACCAAAGAUUUAUCGCCUUUAGAUGGGCCCGCGUUGGAUUAGCUAGUUGGUGGGGUAAAGGCCUACCAAGGCGACGAUCCAUAGCUGGUCUGAGAGGAUGAUCAGCCACACUGGGACUGGGACACGGCCCAGACUCCUACGGGAGGCAGCAGUGGGGAAUAUUGGACAAUGGGCGAAAGCCUGAUCCAGCAAGGCCGCGUGAGUGAUGAAGGCAUUAGGGUUGUAAAGCUCUUUUACCCGAGAUGAUAAUGACAGUAUCGGGAGAAUAAGCGCCGGCUAACUCCGUG